rnacentral:rRNA from 1 species
AUGGGAAAAAAAUCUUUCUCAAGUUCUCCGAAAACAAAAUCUAUCUCUAGUUCUCCCUUUGGUACCAAAUUUCAGGAGAUACCCGCUGCUUCUAAUCGAAUCUGGAGAAGACAAUCGCAUAUCCUUGUUCCCAUGGCGUCGACAGACCCACCUGCCGAGAGGAGGAGGCCUGCUCCUCCGCUGCCGUCCCCUAUUGUCCACCUCUCCUUCAGCAGCGACGCGUCCUGCUUCGUCGUUGCCGGCACCUCCAGCGUGCAUUGGCUUUCAUGCGACACCUUCAGCCUGCGUGGCCUCUACCAAGAAAAAGAUGCCAGAAAGACCGUCGCCGCAGCGGCCGGCGAUAUGCUUAGCCUCAAGGAAUCAGCAUGCGCCACCGUGAGCCGCGUCAACAGCACCAAGUUCUUCAUCCGGCGUUGGAAGCCGGGAUACAUGAACUACCACUGGCGGUACUUCGAGGGGGAGAAGACAUACACCGGAGGCGAAGAUGACGUGCGGGCAGUGCGCGUCCACGGCGCGAAGACCGUCGUCGUGCUCGUUGACCGGCUGGAGGUGCUCGGCUGCAGGACCAAGGACACCGAGGACAAAGAGCUUUGGUUGCUGCACUCAGUGGUGACCGGGGGCAAUCCCCUUGGCCUCUGCGCCGUGUCGUCAGGCGCGUCCUUCGCGUUCGUGUGCCCCGGCGCCAGGGAUGGUGAGGUGCACGUCGAGCGGUGGUUGGACGAGGGGGAGGUCGCGGCGCCCGUGGUGGCCAUACGUGCACACUCUUCCCGCCUUGCGUCCAUUGCCAUGUCUUGCGACGGCCGGCUCGUGGCCACAGCUAGCGUCAGGGGCACCCUCGUGCGCAUCUUCAGCGCCACCGACGGUGCGUUGCUCCAAGAGCUGAGGAGAGGCAGAGACGGAGCAGACAUCCACUGCAUCGCCUUCUCUCCGGAUUCAAAAUGGUUGGCGGUCAGCAGCGACAAGGCAACCGUGCACGUGUUCAGCGUCAAUAUCGAUUUGCCAAGCCUGACACCGGAGGACAGCAACAGUCCCGGCGGUCUCCAAGCAGCCCCGGCGCCGUCGUCUCCAGCAGUAGCUACAGCCAACAAGAGGUCGUCGUUGUCGUUCGCUGGAGGAUUCUUGCCGGGCUAUUUCAGUUCAGAAUGGUCGUCGACUCAGAUCCGCGUCCCUGAAGGCACCAAGUACUUGGUCGCGUUCGGCAGUCAGCCAAACACCCUUCUCAUCCUCGGCAUUAAUGGACGCUUCUACCGGUGCCGAUUCGACCCGGAAAAAGGAGGCGUAGUGGACGUGCGGCACAAAGGGACGCCUUGUGGGAGUGUGGGACAGGACGUGGAGUGCAUCAACUUCAUGAAUCCGAGCAAGAAAACAUCUAAUUCGAAGCCAUAA